UGACUGGAGUGCUGAAGCAGGAAGCC
rnacentral:piRNA from 3 species